CAAAAAAGAAGUGCUAAGCACCUACCAGGUGCCAAAGGAAAGAAUCCCUAAAAGGUUGCUGCUGUGCAUCCUUCAUUUGGAAGAGGCCCUGGAGGUGACAGCCUAAUGAGGGCGCAAUGCAAAGUAACUGGGGGAGGGGUGACACCCAGGAUUACAGGAAUUGGGAAAGACCUUGGCACUUGAAUUGAGCCCUGAAGGAUCAAGGUCGUACAGAGAGAGCUGAGAAGGACUGGAAAGGUCAUCUAGUCCAGCGCCCCCAUUGUACAGACAAAGAAAGUGAGGACCACGGAGGGUCAAUACUUGCCCAAGAUCACACCAGAGCUAGGGAUUCCAAAUUUCUAGUUUAACGUCCAUGUCAGUUCUACCUGUCAGGCAGGUAACAAGCAUUUAUUAAGCACCUACGUGUAGCAGGUACUGCCCUAAGCAGCUUUGAACAGAGAUCAGAACAAACCAGUAAAUGAAACUCAGCAGCUGCUGGCAAGGGUUUCCUUCCCUUCAGCUUCCACUUGGGAAGCCACUGCAAAUACAUCCUUGCGAAUGGAGUAUGAGCAUGUGUCUGACCAAAUCUGCCGUAAGAGAACGCCAGGAUACUGCUCACUACCACGCUGCCCUGCAUGAGCGCUGUGCUAAGCCCCGGAGAUAAAGCAAAGGCAGUCUCUGCCCUCAAGAAGCUCCCAGUCUAGGGGAGAGACGACCUGCAAACAAUGCCGUGCCGCCUCCAAAGCCGGAGCUGGUUUGACUGCGUCAUGCUGACUCCCCAAGGUCACCCCGGUUAAGAAGUAAGUCACAGGGCCAGAUAGAGAGCUGGGUCCUUUGAUUCCCCAUUCAGUGGAUUUUCCAGUACUCUACAAGGACCUUAGUAGACAUCUAUGGUUUUAUAGUGAAAAAGGCCGGCUCCGGGGCUACCCGGAUAGCUCUCAUGGGUGGAGUCCAAGAAGGCAAGAUCCCCCACCCCCUCUGCCCCGGACAGUGACCAACAGCAGUCAAGGAGAGUGGAGCCCCUUGUGGUUUGGAGGCCCUGGGC
rnacentral:lncRNA from 1 species